UGGUCCCAGCCUUGAAAUCAGUUAUUACUUAAUAUACACAUGCAAGUAUCCGCACCCCUGUGAGAACGCCCUUAAAUCCCCAGUAGGGAUAAGGAGCCGGUAUCAGGCACCCCCGCCGCCCAAGACACCUAGCUAUGCCACACCCUCAAGGGAAUUCAGCAGUGAUUAACAUUGACAAUAAGCGACAGCUUGACUCAGUUAAAGUAAAUAGAGCCGGCUAAUCUGGUGCCAGCCGCCGCGGUUACACCACGUGGCUCAAACUGAUCCCUAUCGGCGUAAAGCGUGAUUAAAGUCUUCUCUUAUUAGAGUUAAACUAAAACUAAGCUGUGACACGCUUGUUAUUAGGAAAACCAGAAUCGAAAGAUACUCUAAUUUAUUCAACUUGAACUCACGACAGCUAAGAAACAAACUGGGAUUAGAUACCCCACUAUGCCUAGCCGUAAACUUUAACUUACAUCUAUAUCGCCCGGGAACUACGAGCAAAGCUUAAAACCCAAAGGACUUGACGGUACCCCAUAUCCACCUAGAGGAGCCUGUCCUAUAAUCGAUAAUCCCCGCUUAACCUCACCCCCUCUAGCCCAUCAGCCUGUAUACCUCCGUCGUCAGCUUACCACGUGAGCGCAUCUUAGUGAGCCCAAUGUCCACACGCCAAAACGUCAGGUCAAGGUGCAGCACAUGAGGGGGGAAGAGAUGGGCUACACUCUCUAACCUAGAAUAUACGAAUGACUAACUAUGAAAACUAGUCUGAAGGCGGAUUUAGAAGUAAAAAGAAACCACAGCGUUCUUUUUAACCUGGCACUGGGGUGUGUACACACCGCCCGUCACCCUCUUCAAAGCCCUAUACAAGUUCUUAACUAACCCCUCGCUAAAUAGAAGAGGCAAGUCGUAACAUGGUAAGUAUACCGGAAGGUGUGCNUGGAAA
rnacentral:ncRNA from 1 species